AAAUAUUUUCAUGUUGUGGCAUCGAAUAGAAAAAGACACAACGCAAUUCAUGCUUUAAGGGAUAGAAAAGGGCUUUGGUUAGAGGAAAAAUAUCAGCUGGAUCUGCUUUUAAGGGAUCAUUUUUUGCAUAUUAGUACCACUGAUGGAAAUAGUACUGAUCCGAUUUUUGAACAAAUUAAACCAAAAGUGAUUACUGACAUAGAAAAUGAUGAUCUAGUUAAAAUUACUGACAAGGAUGAAAUUAGAGAGGUUCUGUUUUCUAUGAAUUCUUGGGGAUCACCAGGGCCAGAUGGAUAUCUAUUUCUGUCUCCCAUAUCCAAUCUCAUUACUUUCACUUUCCCUUCCUUCUUUUGCUCUUGGUCUCCAUCUCUAACCUAAGGAACCAACCCAUGGAAACAGAGAAAUUAGUAAACCUAGAUGUUAUUUAAACAAAACUAAUAAACCCUUCUAUAGAUUCUUCUUCUGAAAUCGCUCGUCUCACUUUUCGAGUUGUACAUCUCAAAUCUGUUGGAACAUAUUCAACCUUAUUAUUUCUCCAUUCAUCCCAAAAUCGAAACUACAAAUAUCGUGUAUUCAAUUGGGUGUGAUAUGUGAUUCGAACCUAAGGGUUUUCGUGAUUAGAUAUGAGACAUGAUUUGAAGCAAGGGUGUUUGUUCCAACCGGUCAAGUUUUUCGUGUUUUCUUCACUAAAAGGAAAUCGAGCUCUCAGAUCUAUAAAUUAGCACCAUGAAUGCUUCGAUCACUUACCUCUUCAUCUAAUUGCAAGUUUAGGAUUUUUUCAAUUAAUUUUAUUUUCUGAAUCUGAGAGGUACAAAAGGCAAUAGAGGAGUCAAAUUGGUGGCGGAUUCUGAUAUUAUUGUUGAUGUUUCUCAUAAGGUUUUGAGGUGCUAAUAGGAGCGGUUGGUGGAGUUGACAGUGGUACUGUAAAAAUAAGAGUAUCUCUAGAUGAAAUCAGGGUGGAGGUACGAACUACGAAGAGGAAAAUGUCUCGUACUGAAACCCAUCAAAUGCGCCGAUGUUGUGGAUAUAAAGAGAAAAUUGAGAAGAUGGGAACUGUAUGUUUCUUUCCACUAUCAAAUCUUGAGUGGUAUUCCUGCUCCUUCAAACUUUGGAGAAGAUUGGAAACGUCGUGCUCAGGGGUGUGUUGUACUUGACAGACACAGGGCCAAUAACAAAGGAAAGCGAGUGUUCAACUUCAAAAAUCCUUUAUUUGGUUUGGUUACUUAUUUAAUGGGAAUGGAUUCGAUUAUACGAAAGUGGCAUUCGUGAGGGAUACCAAAGCUUAACAAAGAAGUUUGAGAUAGUAUUGCAAGACUUAUACUAAAUCAAAGGACUGCGAAAAUGCAAAACCUUGGAAUGAAAGGUGUUAUUUUGCAUUCCCCUGCACAACACAGAAUGAAAUCAAGCAAUAUGGUGAUGUUAAUUUGGUUAGCUCAGGUUGUUGUAUAUUGGUAGAAAAUAAACAAAUAUUCUAAGAGAACUGUUACAAUCGCAGUAUAUGAAGAUAGUUUUGUUUCUCACUUGUUUUUUGGUAGUCAUAUCUCUCAUAACUGAGGAAAGUUAUAUUGCAUUAUGAUUUGGUUAUCAGGCUCUACUAUUACUUAUACUCCUCAAGCAGUUGAUGUACCAAGGAAAGUUAAUAAAUAUUGCAGAGUAAUUUCAGUUCUUCUUUAUUUUGGCUAUUACAUUGUUUUGUUUCUGAAUGUAACUUUCCUUUCUUGGUAUGUCACUGAUAGUAGGUGGGGAUUGAGAAACAUAUAUAAUGGACCAGCAUUGCUCUGACUCAGAUAAAUCACAAGAACAUAUCUAAGCAUCAUUCCUUGUUAUCAUUUAGUUGUUAUUAGUUUCUCUAAGUCUCGUUGUAAAUCGUAUAAAGUUCUAAGGUUAUAGAUCCGCUUUCAGGAUUUAAACUGGGGUCAACAAAACAUACAUCAGAAGAAGAAGUGGAGAAGUAGGAUGCCGUAAAGGUAACAUCUAAAGUUCAAGGAUUAAUUGUGAUGAAAACUAACCCAGGUAACUGUUCACAAUUCUUCUCACAUCUUGGUAAUCGUAAAACAAUGCACUGGUGAAUCAGACUUGUAGGUCUCCAUUUAUUACUCAGAUAAAAAUGGACCGCCUGUGAGUCUGCGUUUCUUACUUAUCACAGUUGAAGGACUAGCUAUGCUGAAUACAACCCAGAGGUUACUUACUUGUUGAAGAUGGAUUCGAUAAUAUGAAAUUGGCAUUUUUCAGGUAUAUCAAAGCUCAACAAAGAAGUUUGAGGUUUGUUUCGCCAGCAAACAUGUUCCACCUUCUAGUAUGGCUAUUACAUAGUUUUGUUUCUGAAUGUAACUUGCUUUUCUUAGUAUGUCAUUGAGAAGAGAUGGGGAUUGAGAAACACAGAUAAUGGACAAGCUCUGCUCGGACUCAGCUUUCAGGUUUUAAACUUGGGUUUGCGAAACACACAGCAGAAGCAAUAAUGAUCUCCAAGGAAGCAUUGGUAUUUGGUUUUGGAAUCUCCAAUAAGAUCAGACCCCAACAAGAAUGCUAAUAGAUCAAUUUGUCUUCACUAGAACCACAAAUGAAGCUCCUUCAAUUUCGGCAACUGUUGGAGAUGAUGAGUAUUGGGAUGGAGAUAUUCAGUAAUAGUGCUGGUUUUAAUACUUGUUUAGUGGCUAAUCUUGUAAGAUAACAUUGGUCACAACUCCAGAUUUUAAUCCUUUUUGUAUAAUUUGAAACCAUUGAAUCAUUGAAUGUUAAAUUGGAUGAUUAUUUGUGUGCAAGUUUAAUUUGAUUCUCAUUUUUAUUUGAUUUGAA